AGAGUUUGAUCAUGGCUCAGAUUGAACGCUGGCGGCAGGCCUAACACAUGCAAGUCGAGCGGUAGCACAGAGAGCUUGCUCUCGGGUGACGAGCGGCGGACGGGUGAGUAAUGUCUGGGAAACUGCCUGAUGGAGGGGGAUAACUACUGGAAACGGUAGCUAAUACCGCAUAACGUCGCAAGACCAAAGUGGGGGACCUUCGGGCCUCAUGCCAUCAGAUGUGCCCAGAUGGGAUUAGCUAGUAGGUGGGGUAACGGCUCACCUAGGCGACGAUCCCUAGCUGGUCUGAGAGGAUGACCAGCCACACUGGAACUGAGACACGGUCCAGACUCCUACGGGAGGCAGCAGUGGGGAAUAUUGCACAAUGGGCGCAAGCCUGAUGCAGCCAUGCCGCGUGUGUGAAGAAGGCCUUCGGGUUGUAAAGCACUUUCAGCGGGGAGGAAGGCGAUAAGGUUAAUAAGCUUGUCGAUUGACGUUACCCGCAGAAGAAGCACCGGCUAACUCCGUGCCAGCAGCCGCGGUAAUACGGAGGGUGCAAGCGUUAAUCGGAAUUACUGGGCGUAAAGCGCACGCAGGCGGUCUGUCAAGUCGGAUGUGAAAUCCCCGGGCUCAACCUGGGAACUGCAUUCGAAACUGGCAGGCUAGAGUCUUGUAGAGGGGGGUAGAAUUCCAGGUGUAGCGGUGAAAUGCGUAGAGAUCUGGAGGAAUACCGGUGGCGAAGGCGGCCCCCUGGACAAAGACUGACGCUCAGGUGCGAAAGCGUGGGGAGCAAACAGGAUUAGAUACCCUGGUAGUCCACGCCGUAAACGAUGUCGAUUUGGAGGUUGUGCCCUUGAGGCGUGGCUUCCGGAGCUAACGCGUUAAAUCGACCGCCUGGGGAGUACGGCCGCAAGGUUAAAACUCAAAUGAAUUGACGGGGGCCCGCACAAGCGGUGGAGCAUGUGGUUUAAUUCGAUGCAACGCGAAGAACCUUACCUGGUCUUGACAUCCACAGAACUUUCCAGAGAUGGAUUGGUGCCUUCGGGAACUGUGAGACAGGUGCUGCAUGGCUGUCGUCAGCUCGUGUUGUGAAAUGUUGGGUUAAGUCCCGCAACGAGCGCAACCCUUAUCCUUUGUUGCCAGCGGUUAGGCCGGGAACUCAAAGGAGACUGCCAGUGAUAAACUGGAGGAAGGUGGGGAUGACGUCAAGUCAUCAUGGCCCUUACGACCAGGGCUACACACGUGCUACAAUGGCAUAUACAAAGAGAAGCGACCUCGCGAGAGCAAGCGGACCUCAUAAAGUAUGUCGUAGUCCGGAUUGGAGUCUGCAACUCGACUCCAUGAAGUCGGAAUCGCUAGUAAUCGUAGAUCAGAAUGCUACGGUGAAUACGUUCCCGGGCCUUGUACACACCGCCCGUCACACCAUGGGAGUGGGUUGCAAAAGAAGUAGGUAGCUUAACCUUCGGGAGGGCGCUUACCACUUUGUGAUUCAUGACUGGGGUGAAGUCGUAACAAGGUAACCGUAGGGGAACCUGCGGUUGGAUCACCU
rnacentral:rRNA from 1 species